rnacentral:rRNA from 1 species
GCACCUCACUAAACGAUGCCAACCAGCGAUUAGCCUGAGUUCCUUAAAUGACUCGGCUAGCAGCUUCCGGGAAACCAAAGUGUUUCGGUUCCGGGGGAAGUAUGGUUGCAAAGCUGAAACUUAAAGGAAUUGACGGAAGGGCACCACCAGGAGUGGAGCCUGCGGCUUAAUUUGACUCAACACGGGAAAACUCACCCGGCCCGGACACUGGAAGGAUUGACAGAUUGAGAGCUCUUUCUUGAUUCAGUGGGUGGUGGUGCAUGGCCGUUCUUAGUUGGUGGAGCGAUUUGUCUGGUUAAUUCCGAUAACGAACGAGACUCUAGCCUACUAAAUAGAUCGUCGGCUUACAAACGCCGAUGAGACUUCUUAGAGGGACAGGCGGCGAUUCAGCCGCACGAAACAGAGCAAUAACAGGUCUGUGAUGCCCUUAGAUGUCCGGGGCCGCACGCGCGCUACACUGAAGUGAUCAGCGUGCAUUUUCAGCCUACUCUGCCAAGAGUGGGAAACCCAAUGAACCUUCUUCGUGAUUGGGAUAGGGGAUUGUAAUUAUUCCCCUUGAACGAGGAAUUCCCAGUAAGCGCGAGUCAUAAGCUCGCGUUGAUUACGUCCCUGCCCUUUGUACACACCGCCCGUCGCUACUACCGAUUGAAUGUUUUAGUGAGGUCUUCAGACUGGCCGGUGCAGCUACUCUCGUAGUGGCAGCGCUGUGUUUGGGAAGAUGCCCAAACUUGAACAUUUAGAGGAAGUAAAAGUCGUAACAAGGUUUCCGUAGUGAACCUGCGGAAGGAUC